GACGAACGCUGGCGGCGUGCUUAACACAUGCAAGUCGAACGCUGAACCCGCUUCGGUGGGGGAUGGGUGGCGAACGGGUGAGUAACACGUGGGCAACCUGCCCCCGGCUCUGGGAUAACUCCAAGAAAUUGGGGCUAAUACCGGAUGUGACCGCUGGCCGCAUGGUCUGGUGGUGGAAAGGGUUUCCGGCUGGGGAUGGGCCCGCGGCCUAUCAGCUUGUUGGUGGGGUAGUGGCCUACCAAGGCGACGACGGGUAGCCGGCCUGAGAGGGUGACCGGCCACACUGGGACUGAGACACGGCCCAGACUCCUACGGGAGGCAGCAGUGGGGAAUAUUGCGCAAUGGGCGGAAGCCUGACGCAGCGACGCCGCGUGGGGGAUGACGGCCUUCGGGUUGUAAACCUCUUUCAGCAGGGACGAAGCGCAAGUGACGGUACCUGCAGAAGAAGCACCGGCCAACUACGUG
rnacentral:rRNA from 1 species